rnacentral:lncRNA from 1 species
AAAAUGAUAAAUACAUAUACAGUAUAUAUUUAUAAUAUAAGACAAUAUAUAUUGAGGAUUUGUGUGAUGUUAAUGCAUAUGCAUUGAUGAAUGAAAUGCUUGACUUAUUCGUUGUAAAAAUUGGAUGAACAUAUUUUCGGAUGGUGGUCGACACACGUGAACAUAUUAAUGUGUAAAUUAACCAAACAUUUUACUUGAAGAAGAUAAAUUAUAGGCAAGUAAAGCAGAAAUCCAAAUUAACAUGCAAAAAGUAGAAGAAAUUCAUUCCAUCAUCUUUCUCCAAAAGUAGCUGGCCAUGGACGCUAAGCAUAUUUCCAAUCAUAUAACAUCUACAACAAGGGGGAAUCAAAACUAUGCAUACUAGCAUAUAUUAAACUCAGAUACUUCUAGGAUGUCUGUGAACACACAUAAAUAGUUAUUAGAAGGUAAGAACAGCGACACGUUUCUAUUUGAGAAAGACAUUGGUAAGAGCUAUCUUUGACUUCAACGAGUUCUCCAACAGUUCUGGGACCUGAAGGAAACAUAGAACAUAAAGCUAAAACUCAACAUAAAUACUUACGCUAUGAAAUUAAGUCCAUUCAUGCUCAUAUGGUUUAACACUUUAUCUACAUCAUGUUGUUAAUUUCAAGUUAUGAUGGCAAAUAACAUUGCGAAAGUUUGAGAACACGUGCCUCAAAUAUCAUCAAGACAUAGCUUAAAGUUUUGAACAAAUGGUUUAGGACGUUAUUUCAUCAAAAUAAUACUUAUAGGAUGUCAUUGAAGACUAAAAGAAAAAAGAGAUAAAAUAGCAGGAGUUUAGCAACAUGCAUGCUAAACAUGUUAAAUAUGGUAUUUAAAAAUGUUCUAAAAUCGCGUGUUGCUAAAAGUUGCUAAAAACUCACCUUUUACAAUGUGCUUCAUGGUGUGUUGUCAAACAAAAUAUCACAACAGUUUUAUGAGUGUGGUUAGGGAUGGCAAUGGGCACCGCCCGCAGCGGGUUUGCCAUUACCAAACCCAAACCCGCACAAAAUUUAAAUUACCAAACCCACCCGCAACCCGCAGCGGGUUUUAACAAUUAUCAAAUCCGCAAUGGUACCCGGCGGAUUUUUUGCGGGUUUCCGUAUUUAAAAUAAAAAAUGUUUAAUAUAUAAAUUUAUAAUAAUAACCUCAAAUUCCAUAUAACAUACUCAAUUUUAUAUUUAAACAAUGUAAAUAAAAAAUUAAAAUUUCAACAUCAAUGCAACACAAAUUCUCAAAUUUAAGUAUAAAUUACACAAUUCCAUUUAAAAAACACAAACUAGUAUCUAAAAAUAAUAAUUACAUUUCAUAUUAUCAUUUAAAACAAGCUCCGAGAGAAGAUAUUCAUUUCAUUCACCACCAUAAGCACCCAUCCAACACAAUGCCUAUAAUAAUAAUUAAGAUUAAUAUUUUUAAAUACUAAUUCGAAGGGAAAUGCUUUUAGUUUUCUUUAGGUUAUGACUUUAGAAUGGGAGAUGGGCCACAUACACAACUUUGAACCUUUGGCUAUUUGGUAAUUUGAAUAAUGACAUUAUUUUCUUUAUACAUUUUUAGAUUAAAAUUAAAUUAAAAAUAUUUGGAAAAAAUAUUAUGGGUUUGGUGGAUAUCCAUGCGGGUAUCCACUGGAUAUAAGGUUAAUACCAAACCCGCCCGUAACGGGUAAAAUUACCCGCAGCGGGCGGGUUUUGACGGGUGGGUUUGGGCGGGUUUGCGGGUACAAUUGCCAUCCCUAAGUGUGGUGGAUUCCAUAGGCCAAAUGACAACGUGCAAAUGAAGCACGUUGUUAAAUGUAGAGAUGGCAAUUUGACCCAAUCCAAAUUUCGGCCCGAUUGACCCUACCUAAAUUUUUUGAGAUUUGACCCGAAUUUCAAGGUCUCAAGUCGAGUUCGGGCCAAAAAAUUAGGGCCUAAUUAAAUUCGGGUCAAAACUCGGGUAGAAUAGGGACCGACUUAACCCGACCCGACCCGACCUAUAAAAAAAAAAAGUGGCUAGCACAUGCACAUCAUAGUUCACACGCACACAUCACAUUCUCAACUUGCACGAGCACAUCACAUAUUCACUUUCUCAAUUCUCAAAUCUCAAUCGCAACUCACAAAACCCAUCAACCAAACUUACAAUUUACAAACCUUAAGUCAAAAUCCAGCCACCACCAGCGUGAAUCUGUUGUAGCUCGUCAACGUAUCGCGUCUUCUCCAAGGCCCAAGUUGCCCCGCACACGACGUGACUGCACAAGCCCAGCGCCAGGCACCAACCAACCAUUUGUGCAAAAGACAUCUCUAUUAUCCUCUGCAGCACCACCGCCAACCAACCACCACAAAAUUGAUAGCCAGACAGCCAUGCUCUAGGGGGGAGAAAGGGGAUCGAGCCGCUACCACCAUUAACUUGGUAAUUUAUAAAUAAUAAAUAAGUUUUUCAUUUAAGCUUAUUGAUUGUUUU